UAUCCGUAGGUGAACCUGCGGAAGGAUCAUUAACAGUGACCCCGGUCUAGCCACCGGCGUGUUCAUCACCCUUUGUUGUCCGACUCUGUUGCCUCCGGCGCGACGCUGACUUCUGGCGGGGGCUCCGGGCGGCCACUACGGACUCUUGCGUAACUUUGCAGUCUGAGUAAACUUCAUUGUUCAAUUAAAACUUUUAACAUCAGAUCUUUUUGUUCUGGCAUCGGUGAACAAAGCCGACGAUCGACAGUGCACCCGUCGGACCUUGCGUCACCAUUCAAC
rnacentral:misc_RNA from 1 species